GCCAGGGUGGCUCAGUUGGUUAAGCAUCUGACUUCGGAUCAGGUUAUGAUCACACAAUUUGUGAGUUCGAGUCCCACAUCGGGCU
rnacentral:tRNA from 1 species